UACGUAGGGUGCAGGCGUUAAUCGGAAUUACUGGGCGUAAAGCGUGCGCAGGCGGUUUGCUAAGACAGGUGUGAAAUCCCCGGGCUUAACCUGGGAACUGCGCUUGUAACUGGCAAGCUUGAGUGUGGCAGAGGGGGGUGGAAUUCCACGUGUAGCAGUGAAAUGCGUAGAGAUGUGGAGGAACACCGAUGGCGAAGGCAGCCCCCUGGGUCAAGAUUGACGCUCAUGCACGAAAGCGUGGGGAGCAAACAGG
rnacentral:rRNA from 1 species